UCAUUCGUAGCUCUGGUGCUUAGAGUACUCGUCUACUAACCGAGCGGUCGGAGGUUCGAAUCCUCCCGGAUGCACCA
rnacentral:tRNA from 1 species